UGGGGAAUUUUGCACAAUGGGGGAAACCCUGAUGCAGCGACGCCGCGUGAUUUAGAAGGCCUUCGGGUUGUAAAAAUCUUUUGUAUAGGAAGAAAAUGACAGUACUAUACGAAUAAGGACCGGCUAAUUACGUGCCAGCAGCCGCGGUAAUACGUAAGGUCCGAGCGUUGUCCGGAAUCAUUGGGCGUAAAGGGUACGUAGGCGGGUAAGCAAGUUAGAAGUGAAAUCCUAUAGCUCAACUAUAGUAAGCUUUUAAAACUGCUCAUCUUGAGGUAUGGAAGGGAAAGUGGAAUUCCUAGUGUAACGGUGAAAUGCGCAGAUAUUAGGAGGAAUACCGGUGGCGAAGGCGACUUUCUGGCCAUAACCUGACGCUGAGGUACGAAAGCGUGGGUAGCAAACAGG
rnacentral:rRNA from 1 species